rnacentral:tRNA from 1 species
UGGCCUGUCGUCUAGUGGUAGGACCGGUGGUUUUGAGCCAUCAGACUGAGGUUCGAAUCCUUGCGGGCCAG